rnacentral:lncRNA from 1 species
AGAUGUACUGGUAUAGAUAUCACCACCCAGUCAGAUGGUAUAGAUAUCACCAUCAAUCCAGUCAGAUGUACUGGUAUAGAUAUCACCACUGAUAUACUACUGCCCCCACUACCCCUACUGCCCCUACUGCCCCCUACUACCCCCUACUGCCCCUACUGCCCCCUACUACCCCCUACUGCCCCUACUGCACCUACUGCCCAGUCAGAUGUACUGGUAUAGAUAUCACCACCCAGUCAGAUGUACUGGUAUAGAUAUCACCACCCAGUCAGAUGGUAUAGAUAUCACCAUCAAUCCAGUCAGAUGUACUGGUAUAGAUAUCACCACCCAGUCAGAUGGUAUAGAUAUCACCACCCAGUCAGAUGGUAUAGAUAUCACCACCCAGUCAGAUGGUAUAGAUAUCACCACCCAGUCAGAUGUACUGGUAUAGAUAUCACCACCCAGUCAGAUGGUAUAGAUAUCACCACCCAGUCAGAUGGUAUAGAUAUCACCAUCAACCCAGUCAGAUGUACUGGUAUAGAUAUCACCACCCAGUCAGAUGGUAUAGAUACCACCACCCAGUCAGAUGGUAUAGAUAUCACCAUCAACCCAGUCAGAUGUACUGGUAUAGAUAUCACCAUC